UACGUAGGGACCGAGCGUUGUCCGGAAUCAUUGGGCGUAAAGAGCGUGUAGGCGGCCACUUAAGUCCUGCGUGAAAUCUUGCGGCUCAACCGCAAGCGGUCGUGGGAAACUGGGUGGCUAGAGUGCGGGAGAGGAGAGUGGAAUUCCUGGUGUAGCGGUGGAAUGCGCAGAUAUCAGGAAGAACACCCGUGGCGAAGGCGGCUCUCUGGAACGCAACUGACGCUGAGGCGCGAAAGCCAGGGGAGCAAACGGG
rnacentral:rRNA from 1 species